rnacentral:rRNA from 1 species
AUUCCAGCUCCAAUAGCGUAUAUUAAAGUUGUUGCGGUUAAAAAGCUCGUAGUUGGAUUUCUGCCGAGGAUGACCGGUCCGCCCUGUGGGUGUGCAUCUGGCUCAGCCUUGGCAUCUUCCUGAAGAACGUAGCUGCACUUGACUGUGUGGUGCGGUAUUUAGGACAUUUACUUUGAGGAAAUUAGAGUGUUUCAAGCAAGCGCACGCUUUGAAUACAUUAGCAUGGAAUAAUAAGGUAGGACCUCGGUUCUAUUUUGUUGGUUUCUAGAGCUGAGGUAAUGAUUGAUAGGGAUAGUUGGGGGCAUUUGUAUUCAAACGACAGAGGUGAAAUUCUUGGACCGUUUGAAGACAAACUACUGCGAAAGCAUUUGCCAAGAAUGUUUUCAUUA